CGCGCAGGCGGUCGUUCAAGUCGAGUGUGAAAGCCCCCGGCUCAACUGGGGAGGGUCACUCGAUACUGAUCGACUUGAAGGCAGGAGAGGGAAGCGGAAUUCCCGGUGUAGUGGUGAAAUGCGUAGAUAUCGGGAGGAACACCAGUGGCGAAGGCGGCUUCCUGGCCUGUUCUUGACGCUGAGGCGCGAAAGCUAGGGGAGCAAACGG
rnacentral:rRNA from 1 species